ACGCUGGCGGCAGGCCUAACACAUGCAAGUCGAGCGGUAGAGAGAAGCUUGCUUCUCUUGAGAGCGGCGGACGGGUGAGUAAUGCCUAGGAAUCUGCCUGGUAGUGGGGGAUAACGUCCGGAAACGGACGCUAAUACCGCAUACGUCCUACGGGAGAAAGCAGGGGACCUUCGGGCCUUGCGCUAUCAGAUGAGCCUAGGUCGGAUUAGCUAGUUGGUGAGGUAAUGGCUCACCAAGGCGACGAUCCGUAACUGGUCUGAGAGGAUGAUCAGUCACACUGGAACUGAGACACGGUCCAGACUCCUACGGGAGGCAGCAGUGGGGAAUAUUGGACAAUGGGCGAAAGCCUGAUCCAGCCAUGCCGCGUGUGUGAAGAAGGUCUUCGGAUUGUAAAGCACUUUAAGUUGGGAGGAAGGGCAGUUACCUAAUACGUGAUUGUUUUGACGUUACCGACAGAAUAAGCACCGGCUAACUCUGUGCCAGCAGCCGCGGUAAUACAGAGGGUGCAAGCGUUAAUCGGAAUUACUGGGCGUAAAGCGCGCGUAGGUGGUUCGUUAAGUUGGAUGUGAAAUCCCCGGGCUCAACCUGGGAACUGCAUUCAAAACUGACGAGCUAGAGUAUGGUAGAGGGUGGUGGAAUUUCCUGUGUAGCGGUGAAAUGCGUAGAUAUAGGAAGGAACACCAGUGGCGAAGGCGACCACCUGGACUGAUACUGACACUGAGGUGCGAAAGCGUGGGGAGCAAAC
rnacentral:rRNA from 1 species